AAUCAACGCUGGCGGCGUGCCUCAGACAUGCAAGUCGAACGAUUAAGACUUCCUUCGGGAAGUGCAUAAAGUGGCGCACGGGUGAGUAACACGUAAGUAAUCUACCUUCGAGUGGGGAAUAACGUUCGGAAACGGACGCUAAUACCGCAUAAUGCAGCGGCAUCGCAAGAUGACAGUUGUUAAAGAUUUAUCGCUUGAAGAGGAGCUUGCGGCAGAUUAGCUAGUUGGUAAGGUAACGGCUUACCAAGGCGACGAUCUGUAUCCGGUCUAAGAGGACGGUCGGACACACUGACACUGAAUAACGGGUCAGACUCCUACGGGAGGCAGCAGUCGGGAAUUUUGGGCAAUGGGCGAAAGCCUGACCCAGCAACGCCGCGUGAAGGAUGAAGUAUUUCGGUAUGUAAACUUCGUAAGAAUAGGAAGAAUAAAUGACGGUACUAUUUGUAAGGUCCGGCUAACUACGUGCCAGCAGCCGCGGUAAUACGUAGGGACCAAGCGUUGUUCGGAUUUACUGGGCGUAAAGGGCGCGUAGGCGGCAAUUCAAGUCAGCUGUGAAGUCUCCGGGCUUAACUCGGAACGGUCAGCUGAUACUGCUUUGCUAGAGUACAGAAGGGGCAAUCGGAAUUCUUGGUGUAGCGGUGAAAUGCGUAGAUAUCAAGAGGAACACCUGAGGUGAAGACGGGUUGCUGGGCUGAUACUGACGCUGAGGCGCGAAAGCUAGGGUAGCAAACGGGAUUAGAUACCCCGGUAGUCCUAGCCCUAAACGAUGAAUACUUGGUGUCUGGAGUUUUUAUCCUCCGGGUGCCGUCGCUAACGUUUUAAGUAUCCGC
rnacentral:rRNA from 1 species